rnacentral:rRNA from 1 species
CCGCGUGAAUGAUGAAGGUCUUAGGAUUGCAAAAAUUCUUUCAGCGGGGACGAUAAUGACGGUACCCGCAGAAGAAGCCCCGGCUAACUUCGUGC